rnacentral:rRNA from 1 species
GGAAGAAACACUCCGACGUGUCGGAGCUUGACGGGCCUGUAACAAGAAGGAUCGGCUAACUCCGUGCCAGCAGCCGCGGUAGUACGGAGGAUCCGAGCGUUAUCCGGAAUCAUUGGGUUUAAAGGGUCCGUAGGCGGUUUAGGAAGUCAAUGGCGAAAGCCGAUCGCUCAACGGUGGAACGGCCAUUGAUACUGCUAGACUUGAAUUAUUAGGAAAUAACUAGAAUAUGUAGUGUAUCGGUGAAAUGCUUAAAGAUUACAUGGAAUACCAAUUGCGAAGGCAGGUUACUACUAAUUGAUUGACGCUGAUGGACGAAAGCGUGAGUAGCGAACACGAUUACAUACCCUGGUAGUCCUCGCCGUAGACGAGGGAAACUACCUG